GAUUGAACAGAAAAACACAAUGAAGCGGAGGUUGUUUAUAGGGCGGUCCACCACUGACCUGGUGCACCAGGUGGACGCAACAAAAGGUAAAGCGAGGUACUUUAGUCCUGUAUCGACUGUAGCGAAGAACGGAAGGGGCGAGGAGAGUACAAGAGGAGGCCUCCAUGCGUGAUUCAAACUCAUACCUUUCUCGGCCUUUUGGCUAAGAUCAAGUGUAGUUUCUGUUCUUAUCAGUUUAAUAUCUGAUACGUGGGCCAUGUGCCCACCUUGAUAUUAAAUUAAUUUUUUGUGGGAGAGGGCCCACCCACGGUAGCUUGCUACCGGGGCCCUCGUGUGUUGCCCUUGCGUUGCACUACUGCUCGGGCUUGGCGCAUCCCUACUAAGUCUAAAUGCUCAAAUGCUUUUAAUUUAUUAAUUAUUUGCUUAUUGUUCUUGCGUAGCGUGAAAGUUUUCUUCAAAAUAUAUUUUUUCGUACAAUUGUGGAGUGGGCUAUUUUAUGAAUCUGAAUGGAAAAACUAUUUACACGCAAGAUCAAAACUAUGGCGAUAAUUCAUUUUCCUCUCUACUUCCUCUCAAUAAUGUGUGAAACAGUUGGGCAAUGACAUAAUAGCAAGUUAUGGGCUAAGAGGUAUAGUGAUGCAAACGGGGCUGACUUAGGGGCGGGAGUCCCCUCUCGCGUCCCGUUCCGAGUAUCAAAAUCGCACCUGCCGUCCACCCGGAAUAUAUGAUGGGUUAAGAAAUAUAUAUCUCAUAAUCCGUUUCGCCUCACAAUCCAUUUUCUGCCGGUGCUCCAAAUCCUCCCCGUCAAUUUUUUUUUUAAAAAAAAUUAUAAUAUUAUUAAUAUUUUAUAAAAUAUAAAUUAAUAUUUUUUUACUAAUAAUGAAUAAUGUUACUAAGUUAUGUAUAUAAUAUUAAUAACAUCAAUUAUAAAAAGCAAAAUUCAAAAGUUUUAAACACAUGAGAAAUGAGAGCACCAAUUUAUUUGUAUUUUGGACUUUUUUUGUAAAUAUAUUAUAUUUUAGAAAUAUUCUUUAAAAUAUAAAUAAUUUUUGGUGUGCAUUCCAAGUGAAUCAUGGUAGGGCAGAUUCAAGACGGAGCAAAAUUUUUUUCGUUUCCUGCCCCGAAUCCGUUUCGGACCAUAAAUAUUACUCUAUUUUCUGUCUCGAAUCCGUUUAUUUAUUUCUAUUUACUGCCCAAUUUGGGACGGACGUUCUACCAACCGGGAUCCGUUUGCAUCGCCAAUAGAGUGGAGAGCUGGUAGUAACACUUAGGAAAACCUUAAUGCAACCAAACAACCUUAAAUGAACCCAAGGACACAUUUCAUUCGUUACGGUAAUAUAAUAUUAGAUUACAACAUAUGUAGGAUUACUAAAGUUGGUUCAAUUUAAAAUUCAGUAAUCAUGACAAUAAAGUGUAUUCUAUUCAAAUUAUCAUUUAUGAUCAUAUUUAAUAUUAUUUUUUAAUAAACUUAAAUUAAUAUAAUUUGUAUUUAAUUAAUUUUAUUAAUAAGCAAUAUAAGACAUAAAUAAAAAAAACUGCACAUGAAAACAAUUUAUAAAGCCAAAUUGGUUAUAACCCAUAGAAGAAUAAAUAAAAAAUAAUCAUAUUACAUAAUAAUAUGAUCAUACAAGAACAAGUAGUACAUUUUAAUUUAAAAUUUUAUUUAUAAGCAAUAUAAUUAACCAAAUAUCCUAAGAAAUGUCUCUUCAGCCCCAGCUUAUUAAAAGACCCAUUUUUCUUAAGAAAUCCACCCCAUGUACAAAAGCCCACCAUUUCAAUCUGAUCUGAAUUUUAUUGUUUCUCGUCUCGGGUAGUGCCGAAAUCCGAAUUUUAUCAACUUUUUGACCCCAAUUCCUCAAAUUAGGAUGAGGGUCUUCUUUAUAUAUCUUUGGAUUUGGCCAUUUGGGCAAAAUUUAUUGUUUUUUGCGUUCUCUUGGGCGUUUUUUCAAACACCUGAUGUGCAAGAUCUGAUGUUUUGAUGGAAUUUAAUAAUUUAGGAAUGUAAUGUGAGUCGUGCUGUGCCCCGAACGGAUUCAGCCUAGGGUUGGCUUGGCCUGGCCUGACCAGGUUACAAAUCCGACCGACCCGUGCCGGCCCGUUUUCUCAGAGUAGAAGGCCUAGCCCGGCCGCUUGGCCUGCCCGGCACGUGCUGUGCCGGGCCAGGCCGGGCUUCGUGCCAGCCUAGUAAAAGGCAUUUUUUUUUAUUUCUUCCCAACCGUCUUUUGUUAAUUUUUUUAAAAUUUUCUUUUUUAGAAAAAGAGAUAACUAAUUUUUAAAUUAUACGUUCUUGACUUUUUUUUUUUUUAUUUACACAAUUAUACCCAACUUUUUUUAAACUCUUGUAACAAUUUUAUAAAUUUUUAAAAAAGCUAAAAUACUAACCAUAAAUUUAACUUUUUAAUAUCAUUAAUUUUUAAUAUUAUAUAAAAUUUAAAACACAGAGAUCAAUAAUUUUAACUUUUCAAUUAUAUUAGAUGUUUUAAUAUAAAUUUUUUAACUUCGGUUUCGUUUGGGAUUGUAGGAAGAUUGUGCUAUGUGCAGUGAGAAAGUACGAUAGAAAAAUGUCCUAUUUAUUACUAUACGUAAUAUUGCGUUCCGCAAAUCGCGAUGAGUCGGUUAUGACAUAUUUUCUGCGGUUCCAUCGGAGAACGCAGAAACAUAUCCUUGUAUACUUUUAUCCCAACUCUAUUUGAUCUAAUAGAUUCAGAUGAGCCUCAAUACCAAACUAAGCAUUACAUUUUUUUUGAUCCAAUAACCAACUUUAAUAAUCAACCGUAACUUUAAUAAUCAAUCGUUCCUAGCACAAGUGGCAAAGGACUUGGUGGUUGGUAGCCGAGGUCCCAAGUUCGAAUCUUAGUUGAUCCACAUUUCCAGCUAAAUUUAUUUUUAAAUAAAAAGAACGAAGCGGGUAGCAUGCUUUCUAUCUCUCUCUCAAAAAAAAAAAACUUUAAUAUAAGAUUAAAUAUUGUGUUGAGAAUGAAAUUUUUGUAAAAAAAGAAUGUUGUUGAAAAGAUUAAAAAAAUUUGUAAAGUAAACUUGAGAUGGAAAAAAAAAUUAGCUAGAAAGUUUGAGAGUAGGAAGAAUUAUUGUUUGUAGAAAAAAAUGAAUGAAUAUUUGUUUGUUGUAAUAAAAUUUAGAAAUUUGUAAAAGUAUUUAUAGAUGUAAAAAAAAUUUAAAUUUUUUUAAAAAAUAAAAAAUAUUUUUAAUCAAAAUGCCUUAUCCAACAGUCAAAUUUUAGAAUGUUAGUGAGGGCAUUGUGGUCAUUUUGACCAAAAAGAUGUCUUUUUUAAUAUUUUUACCCUCUAUGGGCCUGUUUGUUUUAACGGAAGUGGGGUGGAAGUGGGAAAGGGGAAGUGAUAUUCGGUGAAAACAGACCACUUCCGCUGUUUGGUUCACCGUAAUUUUAUUAUCCCCGAAAAUCUAGUUCACCCAAAAUAAAAAAAAUUGACUUCACCCUCCAUGGGGCGAAGUCAAUUUCGGUGAGGUGAAAAGAGGCAAGAGUAGGAAUUAAUGUGUUAGGGCUACCCUCUUCUCUACCCUUUCCUCUCCCGAGUCCCGACCCAACUCCACAUCGUCAUUUUUUUUUUUUCUCAGUAGACACCACAAAAGAAAAUUUGAUCUUGUCUAAAAUAUGAUCAAAUUUGGUUAGGAAAAUUUUAAUAUAUUUUUUGUUUAAUUUGUAUAUUUAGAAAAUGAAGAAAAAUGAAUUUGUUAGAUGUUAAUAAUUUUUUAACUUUAGAAUUUUAUUUGUUGCAUUAUUAUAAUUUAUAUGCAAACAAAUAAUAUAAUUUUUAAAAAUUUUAUUUUAUAAUUAUACAUAUAUAUAUAAUUAUAUACAUAUCUAAUUAUAUUAAUUUUUAUUUAUUAUAAUUUAUUAUUCACUAAGUUACAAAAUAGCCAAUGAUAUCACUUCGGAGGUAGGUAUACCGGAGGUGGAGAGCUAUACUUUUUACGUCAUCUACUUCUUAUCAAACAAACAACAGAACUCGCAGAACUGCACUUCCACAAUUAGAAACAAACAGCAGAAGUGAAUUAAUUUUCAUCCCAACUCCAUUUCAACCCAAAGUCCACUUCCACCCCAAAUUUACUUACGUUGAAACAAACAUGCCCUAUAUAUAUAUAUAUAUAUAUAUAUAUAUAUAUAUAUAUAUAUAUAUAUAUAUAUAUAUAUAUAUAUAGAGAGAGAGAGAGAGAGAGAGAGAGAGUUCGGCUAGGAUAUUAUCGAUAGCAUCAAGCGUUUGGUGCUAUCAAGUUUUCCACCGUUAGAUUUAACCCUUUGACUAUUUUCACCAUUUAGAUUAUACUAUUAAAUCAAUAACUCACUCAACCCCAGGGGGCCCACAUCAUCUUAACCGUUCAUUUUUUCAUCCAAGAGCCAAAAACCUAUUUACACAAAGCUCUUGGUGCUAUUAAUAGUAUACCAGCCUAGGUCUACAUAUAUAUGCUGGGGCUACUAUACUCUUAUGAGUAUAAAACCCCUUGUACUAAUAAAUUUUUAACCGUUGAUUGAUGGGUUGUGUGGUUAGGAUGAUGGUGGUCCCCACUUAGAAUGAUAGUGGUCCCCUAGGGUUGAGUGGGUAGUUGGUUGAAUAAUAUGAUCUAACGGGUGGAAAUGAUCAUAGAAUAAAUCUAAGGGACAAAAACUUAUGAGUAUAAGGGAGCUCAUACUCAUAAAAGUAUAGUAGCCGGACUCUAUAUAUAUAUAGCAUAGUAACCAUGCUAUGCGACGAAUAGAUAAUUGGAGAAAAUAUAGAAAAUAUCGAUAAAAAAAGAGAAAACGACGAUAAAAAAAGCGAUGAUGAGGGGUGUGAUUCAUCAUGUCGAUGAAUGAAAAUAACAGCCGAAGGAAAAGUAAGAGAAAGGACUUGAGCUGGUUCGGUGUGGAGUCCACACUCAACCAUGAAGGAAAAGUUGCCACAUGCCAACUUUAGGAGAAAUAAUGUAUAAUAAAGUAUAUAUACAGAGAGAGAGAGAGAGAGAGAGAGAGAGAGAGAGAGAGAGAGAGAGAGAGAGAGAGAGAGUUGAGUUGGAAUNUACAGAGAGAGAGAGAGAGAGAGAGAGAGAGAGAGAGAGAGAGAGAGAGAGAGAGAAAGAGAGUUGAGUUGGAAUGCUACUAAUAGCAAAAGGACUCCAUUGCCACCCAUUUGUUUUCGAUGAUGGAGCCUCUAAAUCGAUGAUCGACACUGUUGAACAUCAUCUAUGCCACUUGAAACAUCUAAAAACCAAAUUUCAUGUUUUUUCGAUAUCACUUUUUUGUCUAUCAAGUGGAGGCCUCUGUGCUACCAAAUUAUUUUCGAUAAUGCAGCUUCCAAAUCGACGAUCGGCUCUGUUAGACUUGAUCUACACUAUUGAAAGUUUUUGAAAACUAAAUUUCAAAUUUUUUCGACAUUAUUUGACUAGUGAUCAAAAGAUCUCAAAAUUGACAAUUUUAAUGGCCGAUGUGGUGUGUUUGUGAGUUUAACGGUNCCAAAUUGACGAUCGGCUCCGUUAGACUUGAUCUACACUAUUAAUAGUAUUUGGAAACUAAAUUUCAUAAUUUUUCGACAUCAUUUGGCUAGUGAUCAAAAGUCUCAAAAUUGAUAAUUUUAAUGGUAGAUUUGAUGCGUUUGUGAAUUUAAUGGUAUAAAAUAAUUCAAAUCUGAUAAAAUUUUUGUAGAAAAUUCUUUUCACUAUUUAGAGUAAGAUCAGUAACUCUUGUCACGCCCCGAGCUCUGCCAAUUUGGUCGGAUUCGGGCACGUCGGCAGACCGCCGAACGGACAGAGCUUCCCCUGUACGUUUUAGGCGUAACAAUCUAAAUAAUGCAAUACGCGAGGUUCCAACCAGGAACAGUAGCAAAUAUAUAGAUUGCAGAAGUACCAAAAACAUAAAAUGACAACUAUACUAUUACAAGCAUUCAUCUCAAGAUUUUACAUUUACAUAACCACAUAUACCUUUAAAUUAUUACAACUUAUACAAAUUUGAUACAAGUUUGUUUCUUUCAUACUUAUACUCUGAGCUAGACUGCUUCUGGGUACUGCUAUCUCUGGUCUCGGUGGUAGGGCGCUAUCUAUGAAGCUACGCCCUGUCCUCGCGCCGUCGCGCCGCUCACGUACAACCUGUACCCCCAAAACAAUAUGGGGGUGAGAACUAUAUAAAUAUAGUUCCCAGUGGGUACGGCCACCCAAGAGAAGAGCUCGACCCACCAGGUCCAAAGGAGGCAACAGUAGGUUAGUUCAACAAAUAGAUAGAUAGAUAUUUGACUAACCAACAAAUAAAACCAUACCUUGCCUCGCUGCUAUGCAAUAUGCAAUACCUGUAAAUCAUGUAAGUAGAUUACUUGAUUCUACUUUAUAUCAUUAACCAUUCUUUACUUGUAGCCGUUCUCUUCUUUCUUAGUUGUUCUCGUUCAUUAGCUAUUUUCUUUUUUAUUUACUCUUUGUCAAAUUAUGCUCACUGGCGAUUCUUUCCUAAGGUUAUAUUACCUUAGCCAUCUAUGCCACUCGACUCGGUCUUGAGUCAAUCAUCCGCGGAGUACCGCGUCAGGUCAGACUCGAGGUGAAGGACGUCUCACAAACACCUCAGCCUUAAGUCCACGCGACACUAGGUCCAUUACAGGGAGAGGAGAACCGUCGAUCCCCGUGACCCUAAGUCGCUCAAGCUUAACGGGCGAGGAGAACCGUCAAACCCGUUAGCUCAUACCGGGAGAGGAGAACCGUCGAUCCCGUUGAAUCACUACCGGGAGAGGAGAACCGUCGAUCCCGUAGUUCCGAUUCACUUGUUUCAUGGCAUACCGGGAGAGGAGAACCGUCGAUCCCGUUGAAUCACUACCGGGAGAGGAGAACCGUCGAUCCCGUAGUUAUGAUUCUACUCUUGCCAUCACACCAUUCCUAGGGAUUCCGGAACCCACUUUCACAACUUAAGGGUUUACUCUUUUACCCUAUGUCGACGACUUUUCUAGGUCUAUACUAUUCACUUUCUAGUGGUCCUAUUGCCAGUACUAUAAUUCAUAACUUAGUUUACUUUUACUGAGUGUUUCUUUACAUCAUAACCUAGGUUCAUUUACACUAGGUUUCAUGUUCCUUCACCUAGAUUUCGACUCUAGGUUUACUAAUUCGAUCUAUAUUCAAUGACACUAGGUUCAUUUCAUAUCCAACCUAUGUUUUAAGAACACUAGGUUCAUUUCAUGUCCAACCUAUGUUUAAUAACACUAGGUUCAUGCCACUCGAUCUAUACAACGUCUAACCUAGGUUUAAUAACUUAGGUUUCAUGCCACUCGAUCUAUUCAUUAUCCUAGUUAUCCACGCCUAGAAUUAUAAUUUGCACAUUUUCAUUUACUUGGUUACCGUCCAGAUUUCUACUCAAUUGGAGUUGUCGAUUUAUACCCAAUUCUUAGAGAUUUAACAUGAGGUUCAUAGUUUACAUAUUCUCACUUAUCUUGUUACCAUCGAGGUUUCUAAGCAACUAAAAUUAUCGACAUUCAUAUAGCUUGAACUAUAGUACAUUCACUUUCAUAUAUGUUUAGACAUAGGCAUUAAACUUUCACUUUUAUGUGGCAACAUUUAUGUAGGCUUUAGCUUCUAUGUUCACAAUUCAUAUUCAGCUUACGUGCCCUUGGCAUUUAUAGGUUUACCAUUCAUAUAUCAUGUAUUUGAACAUAUGAAUUUAGCAUAACUAUGCAUCUAGUUUUCACGUUCAUAUAUCGACAAUUAUAUGUAUCUAGCAUGAUCUACAACAUAUUCAUAUGCCUCUAGCAUGUUUACCAUUAUACAUCAUCUAGCAUUAACCAUAAUGUAUUCAUAUGUCAUUAAUCAUAUAUGCCUACGCAUAUGCAAUUAGCAUUAAUGUUCAUAUGUCGACAAUCAUAUUCAUAUAUGCGUCAAAUGAAACCAUAUUUUACUUUGGCAUGGAAGUGACCUAAUCACUUCGGUAAAGCACAACCCACCUUUAUUUGAUACCGGAAUGAGAGAAAUCCGUUUCUCGCACCUUUCCAAGAAUCGCGACCCGCGCUCGCGACAAUUGAUGCCGAAAACGUCUUUUUGGUGAUAUCUUCGCGUAGGCUCGACGGAUUGCCGAACCGACUUCACCAAUGCGUUUGUUUUACCCUCAAUUAGGUUUGUACGCGGUCAAUUUCACGUUAGGACUUCUAUCCUGCAAAAGUGCAUUAUCGGGGUCAGUUUCUAUAGAAACCUGUUUCUAUGAAAUUUCACAAUUGACAUAGAGUAAUUCAACUCUUUACUAGCCUAAGAACCUUAAACAAUUAGUUUAGAGGUCUCACAUCAAUCCCUAAUAAAGGAUUACAAAAAUCUGCCCAAAUAAUUCGAUUCCAUCUUUCUCUCUAUCUCAUUUUCUUUCUUUCAUUUUUCUUCUUAUUCUUUCUUGCUUUCUUUCUUUCUUUCUUUCUUUCUUGCUUUGUUUCUUUCUUUCCUUUCUUUCUUUCUUGCUUUCUUUCUUUCUUUCCUUUCUUUCUCUGCAGGGCAGCUGCUGCUGCUGCUCAGCAGCUCCUGCUGAGCUGCUGCUGCUCCUGCUGAAGCUGCUGCUGAGCUGCUGUUGUUGUUAUUACUGCUGCUGUUGCUGAGCUGAAGCUGCUACUGCUGCUCCUGCUACUGCUGCUGCGCAAGCUGCUGCUGCUGAGCUGAAGCUGCUGCUGCUGCUCCUGCUACUGCUGCUGCACAAGCUGUUGCUGCUGCUGAGCUACUAUUGCUGCUGCUGCUACAACUAGUAGCAGCAGGGAGAGAGAUGAGAGGGAGAGGUUAAACUCUUACCUCUUAUCUUCUUCUUUUUCUUCUUCUUCUUCUUCUUCUUCUUCUUCUCUUUUCUCUUCUUCUCUUUUCUCUUCUUUUCUCCUUCUCUCUCUCUACGUAUGAAGAAUGAGCUGAAGAGAGGAUAAGGAUGGCCCUGGCAGGUUAGUGGAAUUCCACUAAUAUGGUAAUAAUUACCAUAAUGCACCUCGACUAAUCCGUUUAGCAUCUCGGAUCAGAUACCUUUCGCAGGCCCUUCCAAAUAUCUGAUUGAGCUCAAAUUUGACAGGCAUGCUCGGUUUUACUUAACAAGUUCACUGAAAUUUUAACAUUUCAGUUUCGACCCCGUUUGGUCACUGCGAACUGUCCCGAUCUGUAAUCUUUAUCAGAUAACUUUCGGAUGCUAUUUCUCUCUCUACAGGUGGCAGAAUAAUAUGAAACUUCAAAUCUAGCCUCAUAAAACCAUUUCUGACAUCUCUGCCAAUUUUCAUAAUUUUCUGACACUGUGCAUUUUCUGCUAAUUUCUCAGUCCCAUGCUUUACAGAAAAUUCUAAAUCUUCCGUUUUCGCUCCGAUUUCAACACGAGCCAUUCCAGACUUAUACUUUACACCCUUAAGUCCAAUCAAAUGGUAUCUCACACCAUUUUAUGUUAUUUUGCUCACUUUAAUUCUUUUAAUUAAAGUUAGCAUCGGAAAUCCGAAAUUCUCUCUACAUUUCUUUUCGCACCCAAUUUGCGCCGAAAUACUUAUUUAUCUCCAGAAUUCAUUCACACGCAUCACAAAUCACUCGGGGAGGAUGUCCAACUAGCUCAAUCCUCACUUUGAUCUUCUAGAUCAAAGUUGACAUCGCAACUCCAAGUUUCAGUAUAUUACAACUCUAAUCUUAAAUUCAAAUCUUUUAUCAUUAGUUUUUAUAAGAUUUUUAUUUUUAGCCGUUUAUUUUUAGACUACUCGUUUGAUAGGUAAAUGAUGCCGAAAUAUUAUGAAAUUUAGUUUCCAAAUACUUUCAAUAAUGUAGAUCAAGUCUAAUAGAGCUGAUCGUCGAUUUGGAAGCCGCAUUAUUGAAAAUAACUUGGUAGCACGGAGGCCUCCGUACUACCGAUAGUAUACCAGUCUAGCUCUCUCUCUCUCUCUCUCUCUCUCUCUCUCUCUCUCUCUCUCUCUAUAUAUAUAUAUAUAUAGCAGGACUACUGUGCUCUUAGGAGCACGGAGGCCUCCGUGCUCCUGAGCCGUUUUCAGUGAUGGAAUUUCCGAAGCGACGAUCGGCUCCGUUAGACUUGAUCUAACGUAUUUGAAGUUUCUAGAAAAUAAUUUUUUCGAUUUUUCGAUAUCAUUUACCUAAUAAUCGAAAGGAUUCAAAAUCAAUAAUUUUUAACGGCCAAAAAUAAAAAUUCAAUAAAAAGUGGUGAUAUAGCACUAAAAUUUUCUAUCAGAAAUAUUGAUCUUGUUGUAGAUAGUAUAAAGAAUUUUGUAUCAAAAUUUCAUCUAAUUUGAAUACUUCUACACCGUCAAAUUUAAAAACGGCAGAUAUCAAACAUUAAAAAUUUAUUAAUUUUGAAUCCUUUCGAUCACUAGGUAAAUAAUAUAAAAAAAUCGCAAAAACUAUUUUCUAAAACCUUCAAAUACGCUAGAUCAAUUCUAAUGGAGCUGAUCGACGAUUCAAAAAUUCUAUUAUCGAAAACGGCUCAGGAGCAUGGAGGCCUCCAUGCUCCUGAGAGGACAGCAGCCCUACUCAUAUAUAUAUAUACCUAUAAUUAUAUUAUAUAUAGUAUAUAUAUAUAUAUAUAUAUAUAUAUAUAAUAUAUAUAGUAUAUAUAUUCUAUAUAUUAUAUAAGUCGCGCUACUAUACCUUAUAAUACGAUGCACUCACGUACCAUAAAUUGUUUUCGAAUGAUAGGCGUCCAAAUCGCGACGACCACUUCCGUAAAUGUUAUUCUAGAGCAUUUGAAUACUCUAAAAAAAUCAAAUUUCAUAAUUUUUCGACAUCAUUUACCUUACGAUCAAAAGCUCACAAAAUUGACAAUUUUUAACGACCGGUAUAGAAUACUUGCUAGUUUAACGGUGCAAAAGAAUCCGAAUAGGUUGAAUUUUUGAUAAAAAAUUCUAUUUACUACCUAGAUAAAGAUCAAUAACUCCGAUCUUAAAUUGAAGGAUCCGAUCAUCCAUUUUUAAGACAUCGUUCAAUUUCAACAGUUCAUUUUAUGCCCGCUUGAUGGACUUUAUUAUAAUUUCGAAAAAUUACAAAAUUUAUUUUUUAGAAGUUUCAAAUACUCUAGAUCAUAUUUAACGGAGUUAAUCGUCGAUUCGGAAGCUCUAUCAUCGAAAACAACUUAUCAGUACGAAGGGCCCAAUACUCAUAAUAGUAUAGUAGCCCUACUAUAUAUAUAUAUAGGGAAAACUUCAAGAAACCCCCCUGUGGUUUCAUAGUUUCUCACUUUGCCCCCUGUGGUUUAAAAUGUAUCAAAUUGCUCUCCUGUGAUUUUGUUUUUAUCUUUUCGUUAGCUUUUUCGUUAAUAUUUCUUUAAAUUAUAUACAAAAAACUCUAGAUACUCAUCUAGAUUUAUCAAAUAUUCACUUUAGUACCCUUUAAUUUUAACUUUAUCACUGAUUUAAGAAAAAAAUAAUGAAAUUGAUAAGAAAAAAAAAAAAAAAGAAACCACAGGGGGGCAAAUUGAUACAUUUUAAACCACAGGGGGACAAAGUGAGAAACUACGAAACCACAUGGAGGGUUUUUGAAGUUUUCCUAUAUAUAUAUAUAUAUAUAUAUAUAUCGCUAGGGCUACUUUACUCUUAUGAGUAUUAGCCCAUUUGUACUCAUAAGUUUUUCAUCAUUGGAAGAAGGGAUGUGCGGUUUUGGAUGACCCUAAGGUUGGCUGGGCGGUUGGUUGGUUGAAUAUUAUAAUCUAGCAGGUAGAAAUAGUAAAAAGGAUAAAUCUAACGGACUAAAACUUAUGAAUACAAAAGGAUCUUUACUUAUAAGAGUAUAGUAGCUGAACUCUCUCUCUCUCUAUAUAUAGUGAGAGUGAGAGUUUGGCUACUAUACUCUUAUGAGUACGAUCGCCUUCGUACUCAUAACUCGUUAUCAAUGAUAGAACUUUCGAAUCGACGAUUCAUGCCGUUAAACAUUAUACAGAGUAUUUAAAACUUUUAGUAAUUAAAUUUUAUAAUUUUUUAUCAUAAUUUACCUCACGAUCAAAAGAUCUCAAAAUUAAUAAUUUUUAACGGCCGGUAUGAGAUACUUGCUAUUUUAACAGUGUAAAAAAACCGAAAUCAAUUGAAUUUGUGAUAAAAAAUUCUAUUCACUAUCUAGAUAAAGAUCAAUAACUUCGAUCUUAUAUUGAAGGAUCCGAUCAUUCAUUUCUAAGACGCCGUUUCAUUUUGACCGAAAAAUGAAAUUUAGUUUGCAAAUACUUUCAAUAGUGUAGAUCAAGUCUAAUGGAGCCGAUCGUCGAUUCGGAAGCAGCAUCAUAGAAAACAACUUGGUAGGACGGAGGCGUCCGUGCUACCAAUAGUAUAGCAGCCUAGCUCUCUCUCUCUAUAUAUUUAAAUAUAUGAAAUUACGGAAUGAUAAGAUAUUUAAAAUUUCGUACUACUUCAAUUGAAUGUGGCUUAAAGAUUAGCACUAGAAGGGAAAUGAAAACGAAACGUUCGGUGUUGACGCAAAUAUCAUUAUUUUGUAAUAGAAUCAAGAGAUAGUUGAAAGAAGAAAAACAGCCGAAGAAUAAUUAAUUAAAUUCUCCAAGCUGUAUAUUAGUGCCCAGAACAGAGAUCUUGCCUGAACUUGGACUACCAGGUCGGCUGUGGACCGGAAGCCCAUCUAGCCUUCAUUCCAAAUUAUCAGUAUCCAGUAAAAAUUAUUAAACAAAAAUCAGAUUUUCUUUUUUUGAAGAUGAGAAUUGAAACCCGUAAUUUAAUAAACAUCAGCAUUUUGAAAUCAAAGUUUCCUUUUUUUUUUUGGAAGGUGUGGAUUGAAAAGAAAGACGCAACGAAGCGAUGUUUAUAAGGCGGUCCACCACUGACCUGGUGCACCAGGUGGACGCAACAAAAGCUCAAGCGAGGUACUUUAGCCCCAUAUCGACUGCAGCGAAGAACGGAAGAGGCAAGGAGAGUACAAGAAGAGGCCUCGUCCGUGAUUCAAACUCAUACCUUUCUCGGCCUUUUGGCUAAGAUCAAGUGUAGUAUCUGUUCUUAUCAGUUUAAUAUCUGAUAUGUGGGCCAUGCGCCCACCUCGAUAUUAAAUUAAUUUUUUGUGGGGGAGGGCCCAUCCACGGUAGCUUGCUACCGGGGCCUUCGCGCGUCGCCCUUGCGUUGCACUACUGUUUGGGCCUGGCGCACCCCUACCAAUUCUUAACAGCAAAAUGUUUUUAAUUUAUUACUUGCUUGCUGGGCUUGCGUACAAAGGAAGAAUGGUGAAAAUUAUUCUUCAAUUUUUUUUUUUUGUAUAAAUCUGGAAAGGCCCAUUUUUGGAAUCUGAAUAGAAAAAUUAUUUAUACACAAGAUCAAAACUAUAGCGAUAAUUCAUUUUCCUCUUAACUUCCUCUCGAUAAUGUGUGAAACAGUUGGCAAUGACAUAAUAAAAUAGUAAGAAAUAAAAAUACAGUCAGAGGCUACAAUAUUCAGAGAAUCGGAUUUAUAUGCAAACCUCCUAUGGUUGUCAAGUUACGGGCUAAGAGGUAUAGGUAGGAACGCAAAUGGGGCGGGUCCGGAGGCUGGAGUCCCCUCUCGCGUCUCUCAUGUCCCUUCCCAAGUAUCUCCCACCCCGAAUAUGUGAUGGGUUAAGAAAUAUAUCCCAUAAUUCGUUCCGCCUCAUAAUCCAUUUUCUAUCGGCGCUCCGAAUCUUCUCUGCCAAUUAAUAUUUUUUUAAAAAAAUUAUAAUAUUAUUAAUAUUUUAUAAAAUAUAAAUUAAUAUUUUUUUAAUAAUAAUUAUAAUAUUACUAAGUUAUGUAUAUAAUAUUAAUAAUAUCAAUUAUAAAAAGCAAAAUUCAAGUUUUAGACACAUGAGAAAUGAGAGCACCAACUUAUUUGUAUUUUGGACUUUUUUUGUAAAUAUAUUAUUUUUUAGGAAUAUUUUUAAAAUAUAAAUAAUUUUUGGAGUGGAUUCCGAGUGAAUCAUGGCACUGCAGAUUCGGGCCGGGGCAAAUUUUUUUUCGUUUCCUACCCCAAAUCUGUUUCGGACCAUAAAAAUUACUCCGUUUUCUGUCCCGAAUCCGUUUAUUUAUUUCUGUUUAUUGCCCCAUUCGGGAAGGAUCGGGACGGACGCUCUACCAACCAGGAUCUGUUUGCAUUGCCAAUAGAGCGGAGAGCUGGUAGUCACACUUAGGAAAACCAUAAUGCAACCAGACAACCUUAAAUGAACCCAGGACACUGUUGGUUCAAUACGGUAAUAUAAUAUUGGAUUAUAGUAUAUGUAGGAUUACUAGAGUUGGUUCGUUUUAAAAUUCGGUAAUCAAGACAAUAAAGUGUAUUUUAUUCCAAAAUUAUCAUUUAUGAUCAUAUUUAAUAUUAUUUUUUAAUAAACUUAAAUUAAUAUAAUUUGUACUUGAUUAAUUUUAUUAAUAAGCAAAUAUAAGUAGAGGUGGAACUGGGCCCGGGCCUAAACAAGGCCCGGCCCGAUGGGCCAUGUUUGGGCCGGACUUUGGGUAUUAAAAAUAUAACUUGUGGUUCGGGCCGGGUUUAAAAAUUUUGGCCCGAAAAAAUUUAGGCCUAUUUGGGCAUGUCCAAGCCCGGCCCGAGCCCGACCCAAAAGCCCAAUAUAUUAAUUAUCCAAAUAAAAUAUUUAAUUAUAUANGUUCGGGCCGGUCUUACAAAUUUUGGCCCGAAAAAAUUUUGGGCUUAUUUGGGCAUGUCCAAGCCCGGCCCGAGCCAGACCCAUAAGCCCGAUAUAUUAAUUAUCAAAAUAAAAUAUUUAUAUAUAUAUAUAUAUUAUUUAUCUAUUAAAAGAAAUAAAUGGUAUAGUAUAUCAUAUAUAGUAUAUAUUGUUAUUAAUGAUAUGUACUUAUAUAUAUGAGGAUAUAUUAUAUAUCAACAAAAUAUUUAGUUUUAUAUUAGGAUAUAUUUGUUAUUAGAUAUUAAUUUCUUUGAUGUGAUAAAACUAAAAAUAGGUAUUUUAUUUUAAUUUUAUACAAAUAAAAGUAUUUAUGUAUUAUAUGAUACAUGCAUAAAAUGGGCCUCCACAAAGCCCGCUGGGUAUUGGGCAUUGGGCUUGGGCUUAGGCCGGGCCAUCAUUUUCAAAAAAAUUAGGUAAACGCCCGACCCAAAGCCCAACAUUUUUAUUUGGGCCGGGUUUGGGCAUAGUAUUACCCUACCCAAAUCCGGCCCUGUUCCACCCCUAAAUAUAAGACAUAAAUAAAAAAACCGCACAUGAAAACAAUUUAUAAAGCCAAAUUGGUUUUAACCCAUAGAAGAAUAAAUUAAAAAAUAUCAUAUUACAUAAUAAUAUGAUCAUACAAGAACAAGUACAUUUUAGUUUAAAAAACUAAAAUUUUAUUUAUAAGCAAUAUCAUUAACCAAAUAUCUUAAGAAAAUCUCGCUCCAGCCCAGCUCAUUAAAAGACCCAUUUUUCUUAAAAGAUCCACCCCAUGUACAAAAGCCCACCAUUUCAAUCUGAUUCCUUUUAUUGUUUCUUGUCUCGGGUAGUGCCGAAUUCCCAUUUUUAUCAACUUUUUGACCCCAAUUCCUCAAACUAGGAUGAGGGCCUUCUUUAUAUAUAUAUANAGAUAUCCAAAUCAAUUGAAUUUUUAUUAGAAAAUUCUUUAAACUAUUGAAAACAAGAUCUAUACUCUUGAUCUUGAUUACAAGACUCCUAUCAUCAUUUUUUAAAAAAUAUUCAUUUUUAGCCGUUCAUUUUUAUGUCCACUCAAUGGAUAAGAGAACAAUAUCGAAAAUAUAUGAAAUUUGAUUUCUAAAUACUUCAAAUGGUAUAGAUCAUGUUCAACGAUGCCGAUCGUCGAUUUGGAGGCUCCAUUAUCGAAAAUAAAUGGGUGGCAAAAGUGCCAGUUUGCUAUCGAUAGUAUUCUAGCUCAACUCUAUAUAUAUAUAUAUAUAUAUUGAGAGAUUAGGUAGCACGCUACCCGCUUCGUUUAUUUUAUUUAGAAAUAAACUUAGCUAGAAAUAUGAAUCAACUAGGAUUUGAACUUGGAACCUCCAGUACCAACCACCAAGCUCUUUGCCACUUGCUCUAGGGACGGUCAGUAUGAGGGCCUUCUUUAUAGAUCUUUGGAUUUGGCGAUUUGGGCAAAAUUUGUUGUUUUUGUGUUCUCUUGGGUAUUUUUACAAACACCUAAUGUGCAAGGAUCUGCUGUUUUGAUGGAAUUUAAUAAUUUAGGGGUGUAAUGUGAGUCGUGCUGUGCCCCGUGCGGAUUCAGCCUAGGGUUGGCUCGGUUACAAAUCCUGGCCAACCCGUGCCAGCCCGCUUUCUCAGAGAAGAAGGCCUAGCCCGGCCGCUUGGACUGCCCGGCACGUGCUAUGCCGGGCCAAGCCGGGCUUCGUGCUAGCCCAGUAAAAAGUUUUUUUUUUAAUUUCUUCCCAACCGUCUUUUGUUAAAUUUUUUUUUAAUUUUUUUUUAGUAAAAAGAGAUAACUAAUUUUUAAAUUAUACCUUCUCGAUUUUUUUUUAUUUACACAAUUAUACCCAAAUUUUUUUUAAACUCUUGUAAUAAUUUUAUAAAUUUUAAAAAAAGCUAAAAUACUAACCAUAAAUUUAACAUUUUUAAUAUCAUUAAUUUUUAAUAUUAUAUAAAAUUUAAAACAUAGAGAUCAAUAAUUUUAACUUUUCAAAUAUAUUAGAUGUUUUAAUAUAAAUUUUUUAAAUUAGGUUUCGUUUAGGAUUGUGGGAAAAUUGUACUACAUGCGGUGAGAAAGUACGAUGAAAAAAUAUUCUAUUUGUUUCCGUGCGUAAUAUUGCAUUCUGCAUAUGGCAAUGAGUCGGUUAUGAUAUAUUUUUUGCGGCCCCACUAGAGAACGCAGAAGCAUAUUCUUAAAUGCUUUAUCCCGACUCAAUUUUAUCUAAUAAUAUUAUAUGGACUUUAAUACAAAACUAAGCCUUACAUUUCUGUGAUCCAAUAACCAACUUUAAUAUAAAAUUUUUAAUAUAAGAUUAAAUAUUUUGUUGAGAUUGAAACUUUUGUUAAAAAAAAAGUUGUUGAAAAGAUUAAAAAAAUUUGCAAAGCUAACUUGAGGAAAAAAAAUUUUAGAUUGAAAGUUUGAGAGUAGGAAGAAUUAGUGUUUGGGGAAGAAAUGAACGAAGAGUUGUUUGUUGAAAUGAAUUUGAAAAUUUGUAAAAGCAUUUAUAGAUGUAAAAAAAUUUUAAAUUUUUUUUAAAAAAUAGAAAAUAUUUUUGACCAAAAUGUCCUAUCUAACGGUCAAAAUUUUGAAUGCUAGUAAAGGCAUUAUGGUCAUUUUCAGCAAAAAGAUGUCUUUUUUAAUAUUUUUAUCUUUUUUUCAAAAAAAAAUAAUUUUCAUAUAUAUAUAUAUAUAGGCAGGACUGCUGUGCUCUCAGGAGCCGUUUUCGAUGAUGGAAUGUCCAAAUCGACGAUCAGCUCUGUUAGACUUGAUCUAACGUAUUUGAAGAUUCUAGAAAAUAAUUUUUUGCGAUUUUUCGAUAUCAUUUACUUAGCAAUCGAAAGGAUUCAAAAUCAAUAAUUUUUAACGGCUGAAAAUAAAAAUCCUAUAAAACGUGGUGAUAUAGCACUAAAAUUUUCGAUCAGAAAUAUUGAUCUUGUUAUAGAUAGUAUAAAGAAUUUUGUAUCAAAAUUUCAUCUGAUUUGAAUACUUUUACACCGUUAAACUUGAAAACGGUAGAUAUCAACCAUUAAAAAUUAUUGAUUUUGAAUCCUUUCGAUCACUAGGUAAAUGAUAUCAAAAAAUCGCAAAAAUUAUUUUCUAGAAUCUUCAAAUACGCUAGAUCAAGUCUAACGGAGCCGAUCGUCGAUUUGGAAAUUCCAUCAUCGAAAACGGCUCAGGAGCACAGCAGCCCUGCUAUAUAUAUAUAUAUAUAUAUAUAUAUAUAUAUAUAUAUAUAUAUAUAGAGAGAGAGAGAGAGAGAGAGAGAGAGAGAGAGAGAGGGAGAGAGAGAGUUGAGCCGGAAUGUUACCAAUAGCAAACUGGUUUUAUUGCCAUCCAUUUGUUUUCCAUAAUAGAGCCUCUAAAUCGAUGAUCGGCACCGUUGAACAUAAUCUAUACCACUUGAAGUAUUUAGAAAUUAAAUUUCAUAUUUUUCUGAUAUUAUUUUUUGUCCAUCAAGUGAACACAAAAAUGAAUGGCUGAAAUAAAUAUCUUUUAAAAAGUGAUGAUAGGAGUCUUCUAAUCAAGAUCAAGAAUAUAAAUCUUGUUCUAAAUAGUUUAAACAAUUUUCUAACCAAAAUUCAAUUAAUUUGGAUAUCUUUAUACCGUUAAAUGAGAAAACAUCUUAGAUCGACAACUAAAAUUAUAAAUUUUGAGACCUUUUAAUAAUCUGACCAAUAAUGUCGAAAAAAUUAGAAAUUUGGUUUCUAGAUUUUUUAAGUGGUAUAGACCAUAUUCAAUGGUACCGGUCGUCAAUUUGAAGGCUUCAUCAUCAAAAUAAAUAGAUAGCAACGGAACUCAUUUGUUACUAAUAGCAUUCAAGCUCAACUCUCUAUCUCUUUCUCUAUAUAUAUAUACUAGUUGUAAUGCACGUGCGAUGCACGUCAUAUUUAAUUAAAUUAAGUUUAUAUUUAUAUUUUAAAUUUAAAUAAUUAUUGGUGGUAUAUAUCUAUUUAUCAAUUAAAUUUUUUUUAACUUUAAUUUUUUUAAUGUGUAUCCAAAUUUAUAUAUAUGAAAAUUGGAUUUUUGAAAAUCUGAUUACUGUUAUUCAAAUUACUGUUAUUCAGUAAAAAUCAGUAUAUGAAAAUCGGAUUUUUUUUUUUUUUUCGAUGGUCAGGAUUGAAAACCGUAAUUCAGUAAGUAUCAUUGUUUUGAAACCAGGUUUUCUUUUUUUCUUUUUAAUAGAAGUGGAGAUUUAAAAAAGAAGGUACAAUGAAGUAGAUAUGGUUAAUAGGAGGGUGGUCCACUUUGACCUGGUGCACCAGGUCAAAGUAUGAAUUCAAGCCAGGUAUUUUAGUCCCAUAUCGACUGCAGCGAAGAACGGAAGAGGCAAGGAGAGUACAAGAGGAGGCCUCGGUGCGUGAUUUAAACUCAUACCUUUCUCGGCCUUUUGGCUAAGAUCAAGUGUAGUAUCUGUUCUUAUCAGUUUAAUAUCUGAUACGUGAGCCAUGUGCUCACCUCGAUAUUAAAUUAAUUUUUUGUGUGGGAGGGCCCAUCCACGGUAGCUUGCUACCGGGGCCCUCGCGCGUCGCCCUUGCGUUGCACUACUGCUCGGGCCUGGCGCACCCCUACCAAGUCUAAACGCUCAAAUAUUUUUAGUUCAUUCACUAAGCUUAAACAUUAUUUUUCAAAUAGUUUUUUUUGUAUAAAAAACAUAAUUUCUGUAGUUUUUUGUCUUUGCCUUUUUAUUAAUCUGAAUAGAACAACUACUUAGUUUUUCGUGAAUUUUUUUAAAACCAAACACUCUCUGAAAGCUUUUUUGAGUUUUGAGAUCUUUGCUAAGGAAUUGUUUGAUUUCUAAAAAAAUAUAUAAAAAAAAUUUAUUUAAAAAUAAUAUUUUUUUUAGAUUUCACUGUUCGGUUUCAAGAAAAACUUUCUUUUUUGAAAAUUUUUUAUAUUUCAUGUAAAAUUAGUAUUUUUAUUUUUCAAAAGAAAAUCAGAAAAUCAAAAAAAUUAUUUUCAUAAAGUUUAAUUUCUUACCACCAAGCGAGCAAAAAAUAAAACAAAUUUUUUUUUUCAAAAUUUUUCUUUAAUAUUUACACCGGCCCAUUUAAAUCUAGCCAUUCAUUUUUUAAGGUUAUGAUUGACUUUACAUAGUAAUAACCUGCUUAAUUGGUUACCAAUCAAAGAUCAAUCGUAAGAAUAAUGUUAGAAAAUACAUACUAAUCAAUUAUCAAGUUUGAUAAAAUCUAACCAAUCUUUCUUUCCUUAUUUAAUAUUGUUACUUAAUUACCAAAUUAAAUAGUGGCUAAUUUGAUAAGUAAUGCAUGUUCAUAAAUUUGAAUUCAAAAUUAACUUAGGUUUUAACUUUAUUUUUAUAAUUGUAUAAAUUAAUUCAAAUUUAAAUUUUAAAUUUAAUUUUUAGAAAGAAAAAAUUUAUAUUUAAAUGUGUAAAAAAUUUCAAUUCAAAUUGUUAAUUCAAUAUUAAAAUAACAUGAAAGUUCAAAAAUAUUAAUCUAUUUUAAAUUAUAAUUAAAGUGAUAUUGUACUUAUAAACCCAACUUUUAUUAUUUAUUUAAAUAAAAGGUUUCUAUUUUUUAAAUUAAAUUCAAACUGUUAAUUCAAUAUUAAAAGCAACAUUAAAAUUCAAAAAUAUUGAUCAAAUUUAAAUUUUAAAUUUAGAUUUAAUUUAAUUAUAGUUAAAAAAUAAAUUUUAUUAAUCCAUAAUGCAACGGUGUAACAUUUAUACAUGGAGAAGGAAGGGGAUGGAUUCCUUGCCCAUUCCUCCCUGAAACCUUUGCCGCCAUACGAUGUCGCCAAUGCCCUAAAAUCGACACCGUAGCACCACAAUAUUGAGAGAAGAAAGAUGAUUAAUUAUUUAAAAAAUUAUUACGUAUAGAUUUGCUGUUACUUAAAAACUGCAAACAGAUUUAAAUAUGAGUUUGGAGGAACAUAAAAUGUUCUAGAGGGAGAAUUUACAAAAACCCCCUUGCUAACUUAACAUAAUGAAAAAGAGCCCUUACUAUCGAUACCCAAUGAUCGGUACCGAUGGAAACAAUAGCCGGUCACCCCAUUUCAAAAAACUCAUCACAACAGUCCAUCUUGAAUAAUUUAAUGGUGCGUUUGAUUCGUGCUAUCUUUUAAAGAUUCCUAAUAAUCCAAUAGGAAUAAAAAAAAUAUGACGGUGUUUGGCUAAACGCACUAAGUAAUCUAGUUGGUAAUAUUGGAUUUAUUUGGGAAUAAGAUUCAUCCCAAAAUACUAAUCUCAUUCCCUUGAGUGAGGGUGGGUAUCCUCAUAUUAAUGAAUUGGGGUAAUCAUAAUAUGUUUAAUCUCUUUCUUUCUUCCUACCCGCCGGCUAAUUGGUAUUAUUUUUCUUUACAUUCUAACCUUAUAUCUCUCUCUAAACUCAUUUUUCUCUCUAAAAUUCAACUCUUUUUCUCUCUCUAAACUAAGCUUUCUCUUUCCCUCUUUUUCUAAAAUUUCAACUCUCUCACUCCCUCUAAUUUCGACUUUAUUUCUCUUUCUUUUUUUUUUAAUUAUGCUCUCUUUUUCUAAUCUAUGCUCUCUCUUCCUUUUUUCUAAGAAGAUGUUGAAUUUUUGGUAGCAUUAUCUAAAAUUAAUUAAAAAAAUAAAUAAAUUAAUUGUAUAUUUUUUGUAAUCUUAAAUAAUAUGGCUAAAUAAUAUGACUGUGCGAACCAAACACAGGAAUUCCACAUUUUUAGUAAUAUGAUGAACAGGAAUAAAAUUCUCGGAUAUCUUUUCAUUCCGAAUAAUCUUUCAUAAUGCGAACCAACCGCACCGGUUAAGAUUACUUGGUGUAUAGAAGAACUAUUGCUGUUUUAUGAAAACCAAACAAAUAGUGUUUGGGCAAAAUAUAAAAAAAAAAUUAUCUUAUAUUUUUUAAUGAGACCGUAGUAAUUGGUUAUAUAUACAAAAAGCUAACAUAAUUUUUUUCUAAUUGGACGAACAUAAUUUUUUUUUUCAUCAGUCUAAUUUUAUUUGCUACAAGGAAAGCAUUAAAUCUGAUCAAAUUUAUUAUAAUUUUUAUUAUAGUGAUUGAAAUUUGGAACCUUGCCUACGACCAACCAAUCAUUUGCCAAAUGCUUUAGGGAUAGUCAAUAUAUUUUAUGAUUUAUUGUGUUUUCUAUAUUGUGAAUACAUUGGAUGAUUUACAUUUGAGUUGACUAUAACUAUUGAAGAAAAUAAUUUGAAACAAGAAAAAAAAACUUAUUUAUGUAAUUUUAUUUUAUUAUUUUUUAAAAAAAUUUAUGUAAUUUCACUACAUAAAGAAAGCGAUAAAAUUUGCAAAAUACAGUUUUCAACUGCACAUAACAUAACUAUAUAUAACUAAACAUAUCAUUUGUAGUUGUAAUAUUUUUUGCUACAUCAAACUAAAUAAAAUAUAUAGCUGGUAUAUUUUAAACUUGUAUGCAACUCAAACUGCACUAUUUGUAGUUGCUUGAAACUAGGGGUGUAACGGCCGACAAGGCCCACAUUUUCUGGGCCGAAACGGCCUAGUGGCCGGCCCGGCCCGGCCCGUCUUCAAUUUCGGGCUAUGCUGGGCCGGGCCCGAGCUGCCUAGCCUCUGGCUCGACACGGCCCAUAUGCCCGAAAGGCACGGGCCGGGCUGUGCUUUGGGCCGGCCUUUUAAAAUAUUUAUUUUUAAAUUUUUUUAAAAAAAUUAUAGUUUAAAUUUAAUUAAAUCAAAAAUUUAUAAAAAUAAUUAUAAUAUAGUAAAUAUUAGUUUUUAAAAAUUAAAUAAAAUUUGUUUAUUUUUUUUGAAAAAAAAAAGAAAUUUCAACGUAGAGCACCGGGUUUCUGGGGAGGUGGGGGUUUCCGAGGAUGAGAGAGUCUCGGAGGGGGGGCUGGAGGAAGAUAGAGGGGGCGCUGGGGGGAGGGGGGGGGGCGAGGACGUCAAGGAGGUGGAGGGGGACGGCCGGACGGGGUAAGGGCCUUGGAGUUGGGGACCGGAGCUGAGACCUUAGGUGCUGAAGAGGGGGCCAAGGGGGGCGGCGUGGGGGCGAUGGGAGGCGGCGCGGGGUCUUGUGGGCCGGUCCCGGGGCCGCGGGCGGGGGCGCCGCAGGAGGCGCCAUUGGCGCCUCUCCUCUCAAGGUCUAACCUUGGGAGGAGCAUGAGGGCAAGGCCCCAAGGCCCAAGGCGCCUUGGGCCUUGGGAGUUCCAGGCCGUGCUGGCUCGAUUGGCACGGCCCAAGCGGGCCGUGCCAUGCUGGGCCGUCCGCCUCUCCUCCGUCGGGCCACAGAGGAGCAGCCCAGCACGGCCCAGAGGCUCAAGCCAGGCCGGCCCGGCAUGGGUGCUACAAUACCCGUGCCGUGCUGUAGUCCAGCCCGAGACCGCGCCGGGCCGAGCGGCGCUACUUGAAACUAUUUAGCUUUAUGCAAAUGCUAUUGGGUAGUUCUGCAUAAAAUAGGCCCAAUAAGUUUGUUUUGGAUGACUAUGUUUGUCAUUUUGUAAAAAUAAAUUCCGAAUUUUAGGAUGGUAUCCUCAUUUUAUUAUGGUAGUGUAUGAUUUAAUUAUCUUUCACUUCUCUCUGCUGGUGAAAUGAUGAGUAAGAUGCGAUAAUAUAGGAGGAGCUAAAAUGCUUCUUAUCUCCCUCAAAUUUUAUUCUGAAAUUGUAAUUCUUCUUUUAUAUCUUUUAUUAGUUUUUCCUUAAUGAAGGAAAUCAAAUUUAUAGUUUUUUAUUCAACAUGCAUGCUUCAUUUUUGUCUAUACUAUUAUAUUGGAAAGGUAAUGCAAUUAAUGAAACUAAUUUGAUAUUAAAUAGAUUUAUUAAAUCUGAUCAUUAUUCCCUGUUGAAUCUGAUCAGGUUUAAUAAACAUGCUUUGUUUCUUCUAAAAUUGGAUCUAUUAAUAUCCCUUUCGUACUCAAAAUUAUCAGUAAGUUGAAAACACAAUUAAUUUUUAAUCAACAUUAAAGUAUGGAGCAUGACUUUUUCAACUUGAAUUGUGAUUUAAAGAUUAGCACCAGCAGGGAAAAUUUUUUUGAAAAAAGGUUUAGUGUUAAUGUUGGAUAUCAUAUGCCAUAUUUGAAGCAAGGGACACUGCCCAUAAUUGUGAAAAAGCAUGAUCCAAUUGUAUUAAGGGCGUUUGAUUUUUUUUUUAUUUUUUUUAUUUUUUUGAGAAAUAGGUAGCAAGCUACUUGCUUCAUUCAUUAAGUAAAAUGAAUUAGUCAUACAUGAUGGAAGCAACUAGGGCCUCCUAACCGCGCCAACAAAACAGAAAAACAGAAAAAAAAAGAAGAAAAAAAGGCAAAAAGCAGGUCCGUAAAACGAGAAAUGUAAAACCGAACAAACUGAGGAAAACCGAGGAAAACAUGGGUAAAAGAGCGAAGUGAUUGAGACUAGAGUUAUAGCGCGGAUUCAAAUAACGUCGGCCUAGUCCUUGAUCAAAGCCGCGACUUGUUCGAGAGCCCGGGAGGUGUUGGGAGACCCAUCGUGGAAGAUGAUCUUAUUUCGCUCCGUCCAAAUGACCCACCAGAUUGCCGCCAGCUGGGUCAGACUAUUCGAUCUCAUUCUGGUGUUAUGGUUGUCGGAGAUCUAUGUCCAUAACCGCCGAACAUCCCCCGUGUCCAAAUCGGCCGCCACAGAAACUCCAGCGUGGAUUCGGAGAUAUCUGAUGAAGAUACAUGCACCGAAUAGGUGGUCGCAGGUUUCAGGUAGUGACCCACACAACAUGCAAUGCUGGUCCACCGGACUCCCUCGGCGAAUCAAUCUGUCCGCUGUUAGUAAUCUCUUGCGCAAUAGGAUCCAAAUGAAAAACUUUUGCUUAAGCGGGAUUUUUAACCUCCAAAGAUGAGCGUACAAAGGAUCAAUCUACCCUGUGUCUGUGACGAAAUCAUAAAGGGAUUUAACGGUAAAAUUUUGAUUGGCGGUCCAUCGCCACUUUAGUUUAUCAUUUGUGCCCGAUGGACUAUACUGAUUGAGGAGGUUUUUGAGCCGAGCGACGUGAUAUGUUGACGAUUCUGAGAGGUGGUAUUUGUAGUGAGGCCUCUGGUUAUGAAACGCCAUCUCCACCCUCUUACAUUCCAGCAUUGUGAAACUGUGGCCUCCUGAUUGAUGAUUCUACAAAAUAAUCCUGGAAACUGGGUACUAAGAGGGGUUUCUUCGAUCCAAAUAUCCGACCACCACCUGAUGUUUUUGCCGCCUCCAAGUGCGUACGAGACUCUGCAUUUGAACAUGUCACGACAGCUCAUCACACUUCUCCACCACUGCGAGUAAGGUCUAAAGGAUCUUCUCUCAUGUAACGGCCUUCUUCUGGUGUAAUAUAAUGCUGUGAUCAAUCUUCCCCAUAAAAGAUGUCUCUCAUUGAAAAAACGCCACCACCAUUUAGUUAGGAGUGCCUUAUUCAUUGCUUCCAUAUCUUUAAUCCCCAGACUCCCUUCUCUUUUGCUUUUACAUAUUGUUUUCCAACCAACUAGGCAUGAACCACCUGAAAUUUUAGAGCCCCCUUUUCAAAAGAAGGCUCGUCUAAGGGAUUCUAUGCGGUUCAGGACCCAUUGCAGCGCUUUGAAAAUAGCGAAGUAGAACAGCAGGAGAUUCGAAAGUACCGAGUUGACUAGGAUAAUUCUUCCUCCAUGUGAAAGUAGUUUUGCCUUCUAUCCUUCAAUGCGCAUCUCUAUACUGUUAAUGAUCGGAGCCCAAUCUUCUUUACGGAGGUGUUUGAUAUGUAGCAGUAAGCCUAAGUAGCGAAACGGUAGAUUACCUACUCUACAUCCCAAAAUAUCUUAAGGCCAGAGGACCAUUCAAACAUCUUCCAGAGAAACAGUAGGUUACGCAUGGCGGACUUUUUGGGCUCGGAGAAGAAUAAUGUAUCAUCCUCAUAUUGAAGGAUCGCAGUUUGACAAUCGACGGUUGGUCCAAUUCCCUGAAUCAAGUUAUUUCCCCUAGCUGCUUCCGUGAUCCUAGCCAAACAGUCGGCGACCAAUAAGAAUAGAUAGGGGGAGAGCAGGUCCCCUUGUCUCAGCCCCUUCCUUGUUUUCAUCCACCUUGUUGGUUCACCAUUUACUAAAAUAGCGAUUUUAGCAUUGCAGAUACACUGUUCAAUCCAGUUCCACCAUUUCUUGCUGAACCCAAGCCACCGUAGUAUGCUUUGCAGGAAGCUCCAUCUCACAUUGUCGUAAGCUUUCUCAAAAUCCACCUUAAUGCUGGCACACUUAUUCUUGGAUUUUGCACACCAGUUGAGUAAUUUGCUUGCUAUGACGAAAUAGUCAGCUAAUACUCGAUCCUUCAGGAAAGCCGAUUGUGACGAAGAGAUAAUCGUUGGCAAAAUGGUUGCGAUUCUAUUUGCGAGUACUUUAGAAAUGAUCUUUCGAAUUCCGUUCAUUAGGCAAAUCGGUCGAAAGUCGUUAGCCUGGCAUGCUCCUUCCUUUUUGGGAAUUAAUUAAACAGACGUAAGAGUAGUCUGUUGGGGCCGUGAAGAGGUUGUUCUCCUGGAGGUCUGUGAAGAUGUUAAAUAUGUUAUCCUUGACCGUCUCCCAAAAAUGUUGCAAAAAAAUAAGCAGGAAGCCAUCGGGACCGGGUGCCUUUUCACUACCCAGUUGAAAGGUAGCCUUUUUAACUUCGUCUAUAGUAAAUGGUCCCGUAAGGGAAUCCGGGUCGGAAAAGGAGUCCGCUCGAUACAGGUCGGCCCAAUCUCCAAAAGAAACAUGCUCUUCUUUCGCUCUCCCAACAAAUGUUUGAAGGAGUAAACAAAAUAGGAUUUCUUCUGAGCUUCAUUGUUGAUUUGUCUUCCAUUAUCAUCUACAAUAUGCUUUAUCUCGUUGCUACACUUCCGACCGUUGGCCACUGCGUGGAAAAAUUUUGUAUUACAAUCGCCUUCUUAAGCCAGUGCUGCUUUCGCUCUCGUUUUCCAUAGGAUUUCUUCCUCCUUUAGAAUGAGCUGGAGUUGAGUUUUAAGGUUGACCCGUUUAUCUCGUACCUCCGGAGGCAGUGUAUUCCGUUCCUCUAAUAGGUCGAUGCCGCAUAUUUCCUCCUAUAUACUCCUUAUCGCGUUGGCAAUGUCGCGUAUUUCCUCCUGUAUCCUCCUUAUCGCGUUGGAUAUACUAUGAAAUUUCGUCUUACACCAUUCUUUCAUCUUGUUUCUGCAGUGCCUCAGUUUAGCCGUUAGAGUGAGGAUUGCUGACCUCUCACUGGUUACUUCGUUCCACCAGAUUGGUACGCUGUUUGAGAAGUCCUCCCUAGAGAGCCAAACUCUCUCGAACCGAAAUUUCCGCGUAGUGUGAAUACCCCCUGAAUUGAGGAUUAGCGGUGUAUGAUCGGAUGUGAUUCUAGGUAGCGCUGAAACCCUGCAGUGAGGGAAAGCUUGGUCCCACUCCGUCGUGAUUAAAAAUCUGUCUAGCUUGGCCAGGGUCGGCGAGUGUUGCAUGUUUGACCAAGUAAAAUAUUGGUUGGAAAUGGGCAGAUCUAUGACUGCGAGAUUCGCGAUGAGAUCGGAGAACAUGGUCAUCGCUCUUGUGCUCCAUGUAUUCCCGAUACGUUCGAGCUAGUUUCUAGUAAAAUUGAAGUCCCCACAAAUAGCCCACUUUGAGUUAGAGCAAAUCGCACUGAGAGAAAGGAGUUCAGAACAGAAUUCUUCUUUCCCUUUCCAUGUCGGUGGUCCUACACGUUCGAAAGGUAAAAGCUCCUUCCGCUGGUGACAUGUUUCAAAUUGAGGGUGAGCGAGUAAUCCUGAACCAAUGCUUCGGUACAAACAAAGAUUUGGAUUUCCAGCAUGUGAAUAAACCACCCGAAGCACCGAUUGCCGGAAUAAAGUGGCAUCUGUCGAAAUUCGAACCGCAGCAAGAACGUAGAAACGAACGAGACACGGAAUCGACUUUAGAUUCUUGAAUACAGACGACGGACCCAAAAUAUUUAGAGAUAGUGGACCUGACACAACGAUGCUUACAAGGGUCGUUUAGACCGCGAACAUUCCAAGUAAUAAUACUAAACAUAGACGAAAACGACACACAGACAAAAAGCGGCCGAAACUCAUAUCGAGACACACAAAAGGCGGCCCAAACACAAAGCAAGGCACGCUGCAGAUCAACCACGCAGCAUGAACUUGUGGAGCUCCUCGGCUUCUACCCCGGAAGCUUCACCCCACAAAGAGCACUUUUCUUCAAAACCUUAUUGCUGUUCCAUUUGCGGGGUAAGGACGUCGCAUCAGAGGUCUCUCCUUUGAGGAUGAUCACUUUCCGAAGUUUCGCCCGCUCGAGCAUCGAAAUCUUCCGUGCAGAAUUCAGCCUCGCACUGGAUCUAGUUGGCCCAGUCAAAAUACUUGGGGAUGCCCCCUCCUCUCCGGGCCGAGGGGCAGUAGCGGGGGCGUUAGUUACAAUGUCCCCACCACGAGGCCCAGGCAACAUACCGAUAGACGGCACGUUCCCGAUUGUUAAGGUUUUUAUAAGUUGGCGAAUUUCGUGAAGGUUUGGACGGAGUCUCAAAGAAUUAGAAGAUGAAGAUUGACGAAAAGAAUUGAAGUUUUUGUGAUCAAAGACCCUUGAGAACACAGGUAUGAUUAUAAAUAAUUUGUGGUGAAGUUUUCAUUGUUAAAAGAUAUUUAGAAGACUUGGUUUUCUUUUUAUUUAUUCAAACUUAAGUUUUCUGAAAAACUCAGGGGUCGGGGACCGGACCCAUCAAGCUUCUCUGCGUAGAAGUUUUGGGAGACCGGUCUCUGACCUUGAGGACCGGUCCCCGUACGUGGUUUUCCUUGUUGCGCAGGGAAGGACCGGUCUCUGAAUUGAGGACCGGUCCCCGUACGCAUGUUUUGACAUCUACGCAGCGAAAGACCGGACCUCACCUUGGAGGACCGGUCUCCCAAGGACCGAUCUCCUCGAAAGGACCGGACCCUGAGAUCGUCGUCAGUUUUUAAAAUUAAGUUUUUGGAAUCCUAAUCUAUCUAGAAGUCUUCUAAACCUAUAAAUAUGAUAUGAGGAUCUCUAUUUGAAGGUAGUUGAGCGAGAUAACUUUUUAAAAACCCUAACGGCUUGAUUCGGAGUUUCGGUUCUAUGUUUUUAAACAUCAAGCGUUAGAUCACCAAUUUGAUUCUUCGUUUUGAUUCAAAUUUUAGUUAAGGAUCAAAUUGGUGAUGUUUUAAUUCGGGUUUCUCCUCAUAUUAUAUGUGCUUUCAAAGACCUUUAAUCACCACAAAUUGUUGAACUUCUACGAGCUUCGGAUGGAGCGUUAGCGCGUGGAUCUCGCGUGGAGACCGUGGAUUCGGUGGGCGUUUCGUGGAAUCGAGGCGUGUGCGGCUGCAAGGACUUGCAGUGUGAUUGGUUGGAGGAUUCCAAGCGAUCGUGGACUAGCAAAGACAAUCUACAACGAGGAUUCGGUAUUUUGAGUCUUGUAUUUUUGCUAAAUCACUUGUACUCAUGUUUUCUUAGUGGAUUUCUUUGUGUGAUCGGUCCCGUGGGUUUUUCUCUCCGAUUUGGAGUUUUUUCACGUUAAUUCUCGGUGUGCUGAUUUUAUUUUCCGCAUUUACUUCAUAUUCGUAUCGAGUUUAUUUUAUUUUACCGUUUACACCUAUUCACCCCCCUCUAGGUGUUUUUCACCUUUUAGAUACUCGGGAUCCAUAUCUUACACCGCUCAGGAUGGGCUUUUGCGGACUGUCACGAAAAGUUGAGUCGAGGCCUGCUGGGGCGUUGAUGAAGAGCGGUCCAUGUGGGCUAUCUCGACUGACAGACCCGAAUAAUGCUGAAGUGGUGAUGAAGAUUGGCUCGUGUGAAGCAAACCGGAAGGCCGACCCAAUGCUAGGUUCGGGACGUUGCGAUUCGAGCUCCAGAGCUAGCCCUCCAUCCAUCAGGCCCAAGGAGAAAUUGGGGCUCCAGUAGGGAAUGCCACAAAAAGGGCCCUCCCAGGUUUCAAGCGCUCAAUCUCGCUCCUGAUGAGUCCGCGGCGCAAGGCUCAAGAGAAACCCUAUCGCCACGCGCGCUCUGCGAGCCUCCCGUGCCCGUCCAACCCCCUCGUCUCCCACCUCGAGGAUGCGAUCCGAACCGUCCGAUGCAGUACCUCCGAGCCAGACCGGACCCCGUCUCUAAUCUCGACCGGCCUCGGCCGGAUCGGUCUUCUCCUCGCCACGCUCGACGGGCUCCUCCGUCUCCCCCAGGCCGAGGACGCCCUCCGCCGCGGNUUCAGUGUAUUACACCUCCGCCUCCCCUAGGCCGAGGGCGGCCUUCGCCGCACCGGCGUCUUCGCCGCCGCCGAUCGCCUCCUCGACGACCUCCUUCUCCUCGUCGAUGGGCUCCAUUGUGAAUUUACCAGUGGCCGGCUCGAGAGUAGCCUCGUCGAACGUCACGCCGGGCCCUCGGCCUUCGCCUCCAGUCUUCCGGCCCAGGAGAGAGAGAGGCUUCGCUUUGGGCUUCAGGGUGAACCUUUCAGCCAUCAAGCCCGAGGGAGAUGUGGGGCCCACAUGGGGAGUGUAAUGGUCAGGGCCCCCAGUGAGAUUACCAGGGGGGCCCAAAUGCCAAAUGGACCCGGCCAAAAGGAUAGAGAGAGGCCCCCACCGCAAUUUGAGAAAAGGCCCCGCUCCAAGUGGCCCAAGUCGACCCAAUGGCCCUGAUCCAAGUGGGCCUAGUCGACCUCUCCUAUCAGCGUACCGAAUGUCCCCAGAAUCGGGCCCAGAACCGAAACAAGCAGACUUGGAGGUUGAGCCCGAGUGGGUCCACUGUAAGAGGAAGCAUUUGAUCGGCCCGGGGAUCGAGGCGGAUGAGCAAAUCUUAGAAUUAAAGCUCCCCCGAUUCUCCCAAAUAUAGGACUUAAUGCGUUGACCUAUCUUUGCUUUUUCUCUAUGCUCCAAAUUCCAAUACGAAUACCUAGAAGCAGGAGCAAAAUCUUUUCCAUUAUGCUUCGAGUAGAAACCACCUGCCGCCUUAAAGCUACAGCCCCCGCCUGCCGCCAUGAUGCUACAACCCCCCUCUUCCACGUCAGGUAUAUCAUUUAAUGCGACAUCAGCAUCAGCGAAAUUUGAAUUCCAGUUCGUUGCACCAUGCUUUUCGACAAUCGCCGAGCCCUUCCUGUUCGAUUCCUCCUUGAGUUGCCGUUUAGAGUUGACCGGAAAUGGAGGUGCUUUCCGCCGCGGAGAACAGUCUGAGGACGGAGCAAUCCUCCGCCUGUCCCGGAUUUCGGACGAAUUCCAAGACGCAUCAGAGCUUGAAGAACCGCCGGCCGACGAUCGUCGCCCUCUAACAGAUCCAGCUGAGCGGUAAUGUGGCGCAGGGUCUCUCAGCAUAGGGUCGUGCUGAUCCGUCCUCUCGUUUGGUGGGUUGGCAGGUAUGGCGGCGUCGCGACGGCCCCAUCUUUCAAGCUGAAUGAGCACCGAAAGCGAGUAGUCACCCACCGUAAUUUCCUAGUUUUUCGAGAUGUCGGAAAGGUGGUUCACGGAAACGAGGCACCGAUAUCCUAUGAGAUCCACCAUCCGGAUCGAGAAAUCAUCCGCUCGUAUGAACCGGCCGAACCCGCCGACCAGUGCCGCCACCGUACGGGAGGACCAGCACUUGUAAGGUAAGCAUACAAGUCGGAUCCACACGUUGUAUGCUAGCGAUGCCCUUCGUAGCCCGAAAUAAGGAUUCUAGGGAAAACAUUGCAGCCUGAGGUCUUCAAGCGAUAGGAUCUCUCUACGGAUUAACUGAUCUGCAAGCACCCACUCCAGCAGAAAUAUCACAAAGUCGCGUUGGCUAUACUUGGCAACGUGAAAAUUAGACGGAAACCCGUCGAAGCGACUCGCCAUCCUGUUGGCUAUCAUCUCCUGUGGGAAGUAACCCAGCUUCUUAGGCGGAAGAACAUCUACCAGUAUGGCGUUGCGACAGUGAUUUUGUGUAGUGUAGAAGUCGUCUGUCUGCGGGACAAACGCGCUGAGGUAGGAUGGUCUGGCCCGCAUCGCCCUGUAUACUGCCAUCGGCAACCAGUCCAUACACCCUCUUGUGACGUGGCCUGUCUUGAAGCACCGCACACGCCUGAGGUGCCCGCGACAAGGGGACGCCCAGUGGUUGGUACCCAGACACCUGUAACACCUCCCCUUGAAAGAUAAUUUGCCAGGGAAUGUGUGGGUGGGAGUGGGUUUGGCGCUCUUUGGGCGGCGAGGAUGUGGCUGCGGUGUGGGGAUGGGAGUGAGGAGUGCCUCCUUGUAAGUCUUCUUUAAACCAGAAGUAAAGAAGGGUGUGGACUUCCCUUCACACGUGUCAGAACUCCUCCUGUCCUCAAGGUGAAAGAGAGUAAUAUGAGUUAAUGCAAGCCCUCCCUCAUCAGCCCACAUCACCUUCUUUGAAGAGGUAGAGUAGGUUUCCUCAAUAACUAGAGGCUCUUUGGAAGAAGCAGAGUAGGUGUGCUCUUUAACGCCAGGUUGCUUGGACGUUGGUCGCGGAGUCCCGCCUCGAAGACUAACUUCCGCAUCAGACGAAGACGAUGGAGCGUGUAUCUCCCGGGGUGCCUUCUUCAGUCGCCAUUGAUAGGAAGACGCUGGGCCUCCAUCCUUCUUGACGUUCGGCUUCCCCUCACGCUAAUCACCAACUUUCUCUUUGCCUUUUUCCUUGUCCUUGCCAGCUCUCGCCAUUGUUGUUAUUGUUAUGGAAAUGGUGUUAACUUAUCUAGGGCGUUUGAUUUUGAGUGUCAUCAAAUGGUGCUAGCUUGGAGUUGGAGCAAAAAUAUAUAGUGAAACACGUAAUUGGGAGCAUAUACAUGUAAAAACUUAUAUUUUAAUUGAAUCAGUGCAAUGUAGUUGACAUGAUAUCUCUAAAAAAAAUAAAUAAAAUUUUUUCAAUCAGGAUCAUAUUUUUUUACUGCACAUAGAAUAUUCUCCUCGCAAUCCGAAAUAGAAUUUUAAUUUGCUAACAAACACCUAGGUUACUAGGUACCAUGCUGAGUAAGUCCAACUUAGGCCCAUUGGAUAGGAUUGAGAACAUAAUGGUCUAAUCUAGUUCUACAUACUACCCCUUUUCUCACUUUGCUCCUAACCUUGUUUUUCGCUCUUAGACUCCUAACAUUUGGAUUUUAUUUCGUUUUACUUGGAACGAUUCAAAUUCAUGUUAAUUUUGAUAAAUUAGGCUACGACAACUCAAGUAAAGCCUUGCCUACUAAUAUAGAUCAUUGUUAUAGUUUGAUAGCUCCUGGUUAAUCUCCGAACUAAUUCUUUUAAUGGUUCAACAACAAGACGUUGGAUCCUCCAAAGAGGAACAGACAUCUUAUGCAAGGUCGAAACGAUCAUAGAUGCAUAAGAAGAGAUUGAGGGUGCUGUGACUGGGUAUUGGCAUGAUUGGCAUGUAUACGGAAGAAGACGUUAAGCCCGUGGUGAAAAAGUUAAAAAGGGGGUAGGAACCAAUAGUGUAAUUAAGUCUAAACGUUAAAUAUCUAAUUGCAAACACGUAUAAAAUUAUGAAUAUAUUUCUCCAAAGUUUAAGCGGUUAAAUCUGUCUCUAAGACGUGAAAUGACAAUAUUGCAUUUGCAAUUAUGUCCUUCAAAAUGGCACCUUUACAAAUAUUUUCUCUAAAUACUGCAUUAACUUUCCUUUUCUCUCUUUAUUCUCUGCUCCUAUAUUUCUCUUUCUCCUUCUUGACCUCCAUUAAUGGCUCCUCCCCGUUGGCUUCGACUUAGAUGGAGAUGGACGAGGUGACGUGCAGCAUACUCACCUUGGCCGGCCCUGCACUCUCCCAGAAUCUCUGCUCCUUCCUUGUAAAACUCUAGUUUUUCCAAGCGCUCUCUCUUGUUCUAUCCUUUCCUCUUCUUUCCUUCUUUCGAUGUGUAAGGAGAGGUAAAAGUGUUACUUUACAUAAUACUUAAUUAUGGUUAAGUUAUUUGGUUCAACCUUACAGGUAAACAAAUUUUACUAAUAGACUCUAACAGCAUAGACUAUAAACAUAGAAGUACAUUUGAAAGGAUAUAUUUGAUUACUUGAACUUCAGAUGGAUAUAUCUGCAAUUUGACGCAUGUGGUUGCAGAGAGCUAUAUGCAAUUUAACCGAGAGAGGCUAGAAACAAAAUAAAAAUUGGAUAAAGUUCCGGGACGAAAUCGUGCAAUUAAUUCAAAUUGAAAUUAACGACGACGGGUCUGGGUUGGGUUUCUUUCGAUUGGUUUGGGUUCGGUCUAAUACAGGGCAACAAAAAGGGAGUUUUGAGAACCCCCUCAACUUAUAGAUCAUUAAAAAAUAGUCCCUAAAUACCGAAGGUUUUUCCUUCUUGUAUAACGACAACCUCUCAAUUAAUUUUUUCUAUGAUUUCUUUUUUUUCUUUUUAUUUUUGUGUGUGUGUGUUUGUUUGUUUGUUUGUUCUUGUUGUUGUUGUCGUCAUUCAAUGAAAAGAAAUGGGGAUUAAUUUCGGCUUCGUAUAGUUAACAACUCUUUCCUUUUUCAGCCGCUGAAAUUUUUGCUAAAGUUUUUGCUGAUUUUCAAAAAGAAGAUGAAAUCUCAGUUAAGGAAGAUUAUAAUAAAUUAAGAGAGAUCUAUUUUUUCAAAAAUACAGAGCUUAUAGGUCUACAUAUGCUCGCCAGUUAUGGCAAAAGCGAGUGGAAAGAAAUGUGCAGCUAUAACAAAAGUGAGUGGAAAAAGAUGAGAAAGGCUAAGUUUACAACUAAGAGAGAUUGUAAUCUUUAUAAACCUUCAUUCAGUGGCUUUAGAAAUUAUUCAAUUCCGUCGGGCUUUCAAUAAUAAAAAAAAAAAAAUGACAAGACUUGUAGAAAUAGGAGGGAAAUGAAAAAACAAAAUAUAAAAUAUAAAAGGAUCAAAAAGUGCUUUUUAAAUCAAUAUAUUUGGUUAAAAAAAAAUAAAAUUCAAAAAUAAAAUAUAAAAUUCAAAAAAAGAAAUAUUUACACCUAGAUACCCUCCCCAAUCUGAAGAAGGCCCAUCCUUGAGAGAAAGGCCCAACCUUUCUCCGAACGAUGGGCCUUGAUUUUCUCGGGAAGACCAUCACGGCCCCCGAGCACAAGGCUUGGGAAGGGCCGAGUCUUGGGGUUGGCCCAUCGGCUGGCCUAUUGGACUAACAUGGCCCAGGCCUUUUGCGGGCCAUGUCGUGCUGGGCCGAAGCCCACGGAGGGCGGGCAAACAUGAUUAGAGAUGUCAACGGGUCGGAUCCGGGGCGGAUUUUCACAAACCCGAACCCGAACCCGACUCCAAACCCGAGACCUGAACCCGAACCCGACGGAUUUUAAAAAUCCAUAUCCAAACCCGAAUCCGACCAAAAAUCCGAAACCCGAACCCGAACCCGAACCCGAAAAUUUGAACCCGAAAUAAUUAUUUCUUUUUUCAAUAUUUCAAAAUAUAUUAUAUUAAAUCUAAAUUUUUAAAAUACAAAUUCAAAUAUAACAUCAAAUAUAUAUAUAUAAAGAGAGAGAGAGAGAGAGAGAGAGAGAGAGCAGCGCUGUUGUGCUCUCAGGAGCAGGGUCUCCGUGCUCCUGAGCUGUUUUCGAUGAUGGAAUUUUUGAAUCGAUGAUCGGCUCCAUUAGACUUGAUCUAGGGUAUUUGAAGUGUCUAGAAAAUAAUUUUUGUGAUUUUUUGAUAUUAUUUACCUAGUGAUCGAAAGGAUUCAAAAUUAAUAAUUUUUAAUGGCUGAUAUCUGCCGUUUUCAAGUUUAACGGUGUAGAAGUAUUC
rnacentral:lncRNA from 1 species